UACGUAGGGCGCAAGCGUUGUCCGGAAUUAUUGGGCGUAAAGAGCUCGUAGGCGGUCUGUCGCGUCGAUCGUGAAAACUUGGGGCUUAACCCUGAGCUUGCGGUCGAUACGGGCAUGACUGGAGUUCGGCAGGGGAGACUGGAAUUCCUGGUGUAGCGGUGAAAUGCGCAGAUAUCAGGAGGAACACCGGUGGCGAAGGCGGGUCUCUGGGGCCGAUACUGACGCUGAGGAGCGAAAAGCGUGGGGGAGCGAACAGG
rnacentral:rRNA from 1 species